AUGAAGCUGGAUUCGCUAGUAAUCGCGCAUCAGCCACGGCGCGGUGAAUACGUUCCCGGGCCUUGUACACACCGCCCGUCAAGCCAUGGAAGCCGGGAGUGCCUGAAGUACGCGACCGCAAGGAGCGUCCUAAGGUAAAACCGGUGACUGGGCUAAGUCGUAACAAGGUAAC
rnacentral:rRNA from 1 species